CUACGGGGGGCUGCAGUGGGGAAUUUUGCGCAAUGGGGGGAACCCUGACGCAGCAAUACCGCGUGAGUGAAGAAGGCCUUUGGGUCGUAAAGCUCUUUUCUGAAGGAAGAUAGUGACGGUACUUCAGGAAUAAGCACCGGCUAACUCCGCGCCAGCAGCCGCGGUAAUACGGAGGGUGCGAGCGUUGUUCGGAUUUACUGGGCGUAAAGGGCACGUAGGCGGCCUGGCAAGUUAAGGGUGAAAUCCCGGGGCUUAACUCCGGAACUGCUCUUAAAACUGCCAAGCUAGAGAUAGUCAGAGGCGGGUGGAAUUCCUGGUGUAGAGGUGAAAUUCGUAGAUAUCAGGAGGAACACCGGUGGCGAAGGCGGCCCGCUGGGGCUAUUCUGACGCUAAGGUGCGAAAGCGUGGGGAGCGAACGGGAUUAGAUACCCCUGUAGUC
rnacentral:rRNA from 1 species